rnacentral:rRNA from 1 species
UCGCACGAGAAAGGGGCUUCGGUCCUGAGUAAAGUGGCGCACGGGUGAGUAACACGUGAAUCAUCUACCUUCGAGUGGGGAAUAACUGGGAGAAAUCUCAGCUAAUACCGCAUAAUACCUACGGGUCAAAGCAGUAAUGCGCUUGAAGAGGAGUUCGCGGCAGAUUAGCUAGUUGGCGGGGUAAUGGCCCACCAAGGCGAUGAUCUGUAUCCGGCCUGAGAGGGCGCACGGACACACUGGAACUGAAACACGGUCCAGACUCCUACGGGAGGCAGCAGUGGGGAAUUUUGCGCAAUGGGGGAAACCCUGACGCAGCAACGCCGCGUGGAGGAUGAAGUAUCUUGGUACGUAAACUCCUUUCGAUGGGGAAGAUAAUGACGGUACCCAUAGAAGAAGCCCCGGCUAACUUCGUGCCAGCAGCCGCGGUAAUACGAGGGGAGCAAGCGUUGUUCGGAAUUAUUGGGCGUAAAGGGUGCGUAGGCGGUUUGAUAAGUCUGAUGUGAAAUCUAUGGGCUCAACCCAGAGUCUGCAUUAGAAACUGUCGGGCUUGAGUAUGGGAGAGGUGAGUGGAAUUUCCGGUGUAGCGGUGAAAUGCGUAGAUAUCGGAAGGAACACCUGUGGCGAAAGCGGCUCACUGGACCAUAACUGACGCUGAGGCACGAAAGCUAGGGGAGCAAACAGGAUUAGAUACCCUGGUAGUCCUAGCCCUAAACGAUGAUUGCUUGAUGUGGCAGGUACCCAAUCCUGCC